rnacentral:rRNA from 1 species
GACGAACGCUGGCGGCGUGCUUAACACAUGCCAGUCGAACGGAAAGGCCCUGCUUUUGUGGGGUGCUCGAGUGGCGAACGGGUGAGUAACACGUGAGUAACCUGCCCUUGACUUUGGGAUAACUUCAGGGAACUGGGGCUAAUACCGGAUAGGAGCUCCUGCUGCAUGGCGGGGGUUGGAAAGUUUCGGCGGUUGGGGAUGGACUCGCGGCUUAUCAGCUUGUUGGUGGGGUAGUGGCUUACCAAGGCUUUGACGGGUAGCCGGCCUGAGAGGGUGACCGGCCACAUUGGGACUGAGAUACGGCCCAGACUCCUACGGGAGGCAGCAGUGGGGAAUAUUGCACAAUGGGCGGAAGCCUGAUGCAGCAACGCCGCGUGCGGGAUGACGGCCUUCGGGUUGUAAACCGCUUUCGCCUGUGACGAAGCGUGAGUGACGGUAAUGGGUAAAGAAGCACCGGCUAACUACGUG